rnacentral:rRNA from 1 species
AUUGAACGCUGGCGGCAGGCCUAACACAUGCAAGUCGAACGAGUGGCGGACGGGUGAGUCAUGUCUGGGAAACUGCCUGGUGGAGGGGGAUAACUACUGGAAACGGUAGCUAAUACCGCAUACAAUAAGAUGUGCACAGAUGGGAGUAGCUAGUUGGUGGGGUAACGGCUCACCAAGGCGACGAUCCCUACCUGGUCUGAGAGGAUGACCAGCCAUACUGGAACUGAGACACGGUCCAGACGCGGACGGGAGGCAGCAGAGGGGAAGAGGGGACAAUGGGCGCAAGCCUGAUGCAGCCAUGCCGCGUGUAUGAAGAAGGCAUUCGGGUUGUAAAGUACUUUCAGCGGGGAGGCGGUACCCGCAGAAGAAGCACCGGCUAACUCCGUGCCAGCAGCCGCGGUAAUAC